rnacentral:rRNA from 1 species
GAGUUUGAUCGUGGCUCAGAACGAACGCUGGCGGCAGGCCUAACACAUGCAAGUCGAACGAACCAGCAAUGGUGAGUGGCGCACGGGUGCGUAACGCGUGGGAAUCUACCCUUGACUACGGGACAACGUCGGGAAACUGACGCUAAUACCGUAUAAUGUCUCCGGACCAAAGAUUUAUCGGUCAAGGAUGAGCCCGCGUUAGAUUAGGUAGUUGGUGGGGUAAUGGCCUACCAAGCCGACGAUCUAUAGCUGGUCUGAGAGGAUGAUCAGCCACACUGGUACUGAGACACGGACCAGACUCCUACGGGAGGCAGCAGUGAGGAAUAUUGGACAAUGGAGGCAACUCUGAUCCAGCCAUGCCGCGUGAGUGAAGAAGGCCUUCGGGUUGUAAAGCUCUUUCAAUUGUGAAGAUAAUGACGGUAGCAAUAGAAGAGG